GCCAGACAGAGGCAACAGCAUGAACGGAAACACACAGUUCUGAAACAGCAUGACACAUUCAAAGGAGCUGUAAACAGAAUUUGGAAUUUCAGGGGCUUAAAGUAGAAGCAGGUGAUGUCAAGAGAAGAAGCUCAAAAGUAAGCCACCUACAUCAAUCCCCUGACACUCAAAAGCCUUUACCUGGUACGAGACUACGCAUCCUGCAAAGGGCAAGCCAAGUGUCACCUCCCAGGUGAAUCCUUCCUCCGUGGACAUCUGCCAGCAUCCAUUCCCCUGGUUCAGGACACAUCUAUUCCCCACUCGAAGUACAUAGGGUUCAAGGGAGGCCACAGGAGAGGUCAUGUGACCUAAGCCCGGACAAGGAGAAUGGCAUCACCCUGGACAUAAGGACUAGCUCAAAGAUGGACAUGUGGCACCGGCUGAACCAGAAUACCUUUUCUCCAGGGCUCCUCCACACUCAGAAAGAGCCAAUUUCAAGCUACCAGUAUGAUGUGACGGAACACAGAGUUGGGAAGAGAUGCUCAGUGCAGAUCACUAUAUAAUACGUCCCCACUACAGACAACAUAGAUGUAAAUGACUUCAAGAGUGUGGAUAACAGCAAAGGCAGAAAAACAAUUAGGAAGAGAUGCUGGAAUAUUACCAGAAUAUGGCCCUUGACAAUCAGCCCUCUUUGAAAAUGGCCUUGUCCAUGGUUGCACCCCCUACCCAGGGAAGGUCACAUCCCACAUAUGGUUGAAGAGGGGCUAUAAAGGUCCUGGCCCCUUGCCUCAACUCAGGACAACUCUGAAGGGAGCUCCGCAUGAGACUGGAUGGGAAUUUGUUGAGAGUGAA
rnacentral:lncRNA from 1 species